rnacentral:tRNA from 1 species
GGACCCAUAGUUCAGCGGAUAGAAUAGCCGGCUUCGGACCGGCUGACCGAGGUUCAACUCCUCGUGGGUCCA